AACAGGAUUAGAUACCCUGGUAGUCCAUGCCGUAAACGAUGAUUACUAAGUGUUGGAGGGUUUCCGCCCUUCAGUGCUACAGCUAACGCAUUAAGUAAUCCGCCUGGGGAGUACGACCGCAAGGUUGAAACUCAAAAGAAUUGACGGGGGCCCGCACAAGCGGUGGAGCAUGUGGUUUAAUUCGAAGCUACGCGAAGAACCUUACCAGGUCUUGACAUCUUCUGCCAACCUAAGAGAUUAGGCGUUCCCUUCGGGGACAGAAUGACAGGUGGUGCAUGGUUGUCGUCAGCUCGUGUCGUGAGAUGUUGGGUUAAGUCCCGCAACGAGCGCAACCCUUAUUACUAGUUGCCAGCAUUCAGUUGGGCACUCUAGUGAGACUGCCGGUGACAAACCGGAGGAAGGUGGGGACGACGUCAAAUCAUCAUGCCCCUUAUGACCUGGGCUACACACGUGCUACAAUGGAUGGUACAACGAGUCGCGAAACCGCGAGGUUUAGCUAAUCUCUUAAAACCAUUCUCAGUUCGGACUGUAGGCUGCAACUCGCCUACACGAAGUCGGAAUCGCUAGUAAUCGCGGAUCAGCAUGCCGCGGUGAAUACGUUCCCGGGCCUUGUACACACCGCCCGUCACACCAUGAGAGUUUGUAACACCCAAAGCCGGUGGGGUAACCUUUUAGGAGCUAGCCGUCUAAGGUGGGACAGAUGAUUAGGGUGAAGUCGUAACAAGGUAACC
rnacentral:rRNA from 1 species